AAACUGAAGAGUUUGAUCCUGGCUCAGAUUGAACGCUGGCGGAAUGCUUUACACAUGCAAGUCGAACGGCAGCACGGGGGCAACCCUGGUGGCGAGUGGCGCACGGGUGAGUAAAACAUCGGAACGUAUCCUAGAGUGGGGGAUAGCCCGGCGAAAGCCGGAUUAAUACCGCAUACGCUCGAAAGAGGAAAGUGGGGGAUCGUAAGACCUCACGCCCAAGGAGCGGCCGAUGCCGGAUUAGCUUGUUGGUGAGGUAAAGGCUCACCAAGGCGACGAUCCGUAGCUGGUCUGAGAGGACGACCAGCCACACUGGGACUGAGACACGGCCCAGACUCCUACGGGAGGCAGCAGUGGGGAAUUUUGGACAAUGGGGGAAACCCUGAUCCAGCCAUUCCGCGUGAGUGAAGAAGGCCUUCGGGUUGUAAAGCUCUUUCGGCAGGAAAGAAACGGUUUGGGUUAAUAUCCCAGACUACUGACGGUACCUGAAGAAGAAGCACCGGCUAACUACGUGCCAGCAGCCGCGGUAAUACGUAGGGUGCGAGCGUUAAUCGGAAUUACUGGGCGUAAAGCGUGCGCAGGCUGUGAUCCAAGUCAGGUGUGAAAGCCCCGGGCUCAACCUGGGAAUUGCGCUUGAAACUGGAUCGCUAGAGUUUGACAGAGGGGGGUAGAAUUCCACGUGUAGCAGUGAAAUGCGUAGAUAUGUGGAGG
rnacentral:rRNA from 1 species